rnacentral:rRNA from 1 species
AUUGAACGAUGGCGGCAGGCCUAACACAUGCAAGUCGAACGAGUGGCGGACGGGUGAGUAAUGUCUGGGAAACUGCCCGAUGGAGGGGGAUAACUACUGGAAACGGUAGCUAAUACCGCAUCCCAUCGGAUGUGCCCAGAUGGGAGUAGCUAGUAGGUGGGGUAACGGCUCACCUAGGCGACGAUCCCUAGCUGGUCUGAGAGGAUGACCAUCCACACGCGAACAGAGCCACGGUCCAGACUCCGACGGGAGACAGUAGUGGUGAAUAUUGCACAAUGGGCGCAAGCCGGAUGCAGCCAUGCCGCGUGUAUGAAGAAGGCCUUCGGGUUGUAAAGUACUUUCAGCGAGGAGGCGUUACUCGCAGAAGAAGCAUCGGCUAACUCCGUGCCAGCCGCCGCGGUAAUUC